ensembl:miRNA Mir7035 microRNA 7035
UGAGGGGCUGGGAGAGUGGCUCAGAAGAGAGUACCUGGCUCUGGGGAGGAAGGGGCAGACUUCUGAGCCGCUGUCCCUGCAG